rnacentral:rRNA from 1 species
UUUCCUACGGGAGGCAGCAGUGGGGAAUAUUGGACAAUGGGCGAAAGCCUGAUCCAGCCAUGCCGCGUGUGUGAAGAAGGUCUUCGGAUUGUAAAGCACUUUAAGUUGGGAGGAAGGGCAGUAAGUUAAUACCUUGCUGUUUGACGUACCGACAGAAUAGCCCGAUUUUGCC